AUUGAACGCUGGCGGCAUGCCUUACACAUGCAAGUCGAACGGUAACGGGCCUUCGGGUGCCGACGAGUGGCGAACGGGUGAGUAAUGUAUCGGAACGUACCUUUCAGUGGGGGAUAACGUAGCGAAAGUUGCGCUAAUACCGCAUAUUCUGUGCGCAGGAAAGCAGGGGAUCGCAAGACCUUGCGCUGAUUGAGCGGCCGAUAUCAGAUUAGCUAGUUGGUGAGGGAAAGGCUCACCAAGGCGACGAUCUGUAGCGGGUCUGAGAGGAUGAUCAGUCACACUGGAACUGAGACACGGUCCAGACUCCUACGGGAGGCAGCAGUGGGGAAUAUUGCGCAAUGGGCGAAAGCCUGACGCAGCCACGCCGCGUGAGCGAUGAAGGUCUUCGGAUCGUAAAGCUCUGUGGGGAGAGACGAAGAAAGCCCAUGAAGAGUGGGCCUUGACGGUAUCUCCUUAGCAAGCACCGGCUAACUCCGUGCCAGCAGCCGCAGUAACAC
rnacentral:rRNA from 1 species